UACGUAGGGGGCAAGCGUUAUCCGGAUUCACUGGGUGUAAAGGGAGCGUAGACGGCCAUGCAAGCCUGGAGUGAAAGGCAGGGGCCCAACCCCUGGACUGCUCUGGAAACUGUCCGGCUGGAGUGCAGGAGAGGUAAGUGGAAUUCCUAGUGUAGCGGUGAAAUGCGUAGAUAUUAGGAGGAACACCAGUGGCGAAGGCGGCUUACUGGACUGUAACUGACGUUGAGGCUCGAAAGCGUGGGGAGCAAACAGG
rnacentral:rRNA from 1 species